rnacentral:lncRNA from 1 species
CAAAUGCUGGAAGCUAGAACAGGAAGUUAUAAAUCAGCAUCUUGAUGGUAAAAUGAAAAUCAACAACUAGUAGCACUUCUUUGAAUUGUCUUUAAAUUAGAGUAAUGUUAAUUUUGAUUGGUAUGGAGAUAGAUGCAUACAAUGGAAAACGAACUGCUGUUAUAUUUUUGGAAGAGGUUAAACAACAAGAUGUAAUUCGAGAUAUUGUUUCUAAAAUUCUUAAAGACGUGUUAUUCGUUCAAGUAAACGAUGCUGUUAAAGCAGGUUGUCUGAGCAGUUAAAGAAACUUAAUCAAAUGAUUCAAAAUUCUCUUCUUUAAGCAGCCGAAGCAACGAUACUCGAAAU